UUCCUGCUGUCGCGCCAGCGGCAUUAGCAGGGUAGCUAUUGCUGGUACGGGAUAACCGCUGAAAGCAUCUAAGCGGGAAGCCCACCUCAAGAUUAGGUUUCCCGUGGAUAAAAGGUAUUGGAGGUGUUUGAGGUGUUAAAAAGUGUUGAGUUUUCACUCAAUACCUAAAUACCUUAAAACCUUAAUACCUUACCCCCUGAAGGGCACCAGUAGACUACUGGUUUGAUAGGCCGGGUGUGUAAGCACAGCAAUGUGUUGAGCUGACCGGUACUAAUCGCCCGUGCGGCUUGGCCAUAU
rnacentral:rRNA from 1 species